rnacentral:rRNA from 1 species
UACGGGAGGAGCAGGGGGAAUAUUGCACAAUGGGCGCAAGCCUGAUGCAGCCAUGCCGCGUGUAUGAAGAAGGCCUUCGGGUUGUAAAGUACUUUCAGUCGUGAGGAAGGUGUUAAGGUUAAUAACCUUAGCAAUUGACGUUAGCGACAGAAGAAGCACCGGCUAACUCCGUGCCAGCAGCCGCGGUAAUACGGAGGGUGCGAGCGUUAAUCGGAAUUACUGGGCGUAAAGGGCACGCAGGCGGUUAAUUAAGUUGGAUGUGAAAUCCCCGGGCUUAACCUGGGAAUGGCAUUCAAGACUGGUUAGCUAGAGUCUUGUAGAGGGGGUAGAAUUCCAUGUGUAGCGGUGAAAUGCGUAGAGAUGUGGAGGAAUACCGGUGGCGAAGGCGGCCCCUGGACAAAGACUGACGCUCAUGUGCGAAAGCGUGGGGAGCAAACGAGGAUUAGGGUACC